UGAGGAAUUUUGCGCAAUGGGGGAAACCCUGACGCAGCAACGCCGCGUGAGUGAUGAAGGCUCUUGGGUCGUAAAACUCUGUCAGUAGGGAAGAAGUUAUGUAUGGUUAAUACCCAUAUGUAUUGACGGUACCUACAAAGGAAGCACCGGCUAACUCCGUGCCAGCAGCCGCGGUAAUACGGGGGGUGCAAGCGUUAUUCGGAAUUAUUGGGCGUAAAGCGAGUGCAGGCGGUUUGUUAAGUCAGAUGUGAAAGCCCGGGGCUCAACCCCGGAAGUGCAUUUGAAACUAUCAGACUUGAGUAUGGGAGAGGAAAGUGGAAUUCCUGGUGUAGAGGUGAAAUUCGUAGAUAUCAGGAGGAACACCAGUGGCGAAGGCGACUUUCUGGACCAAUACUGACGCUCAGACUCGAAGGCGUGGGGAGCAAACA
rnacentral:rRNA from 1 species